rnacentral:rRNA from 1 species
AACGAACGCUGGCGGCAUGCCUAACACAUGCAAGUCGAACGAACCCUUCGGGGUUAGUGGCGCAAGGGAGCGUAACGCGGGGGAAGCGGCCCUUGGCUUCGGAAUAACCCAGGGAAACUGGUGCAAAUACCGGAUGAUGUCUUCGGAACAAAGAAUUAUCGGCAAGGGAUGAGCCCGCGUAGGAUUAGGUAGUUGGUGGGGUAAAGGCCCACCGAGCCGACGAUCCUGAGCUGGUCUGAGAGGAUGACCAGCCACCCUGGGACUGAGACCCGGCCCAGAAGCCUACGGAAGGCAGCAGUUGUGACUAUUGGACAAUGGGCGCGAGCCUGACCCAGCAAUGCCGCGUGAGUGAUGAAGGCCCUCGGGUCGUAAAGCUCUUUUACCAGGGAUGAUAUUGACGGUACCUGGAGAAUAAGCUCCGGCUAACUCCGUG